UACGUAGGGGGCAAGCGUUAUCCGGAUUUACUGGGUGUAAAGGGAGCGUAGGCGGUCUGGCAAGCCAGAAGUGAAAGCCCGGGGCUUAACCUCGGGACUGCUUUUGGAACUGUUAGACUAGAGUGUCGGAGAGGUAAGUGGAAUUCCUAGUGUAGCGGUGAAAUGCGUAGAUAUUAGGAGGAACACCAGUGGCGAAGGCGGCUUACUGGACGAUAACUGACGCUGAGGCUCGAAAGCGUGGGGAGCAAACAGG
rnacentral:rRNA from 1 species